UACAGAGGGUGCGAGCGUUAAUCGGAAUUACUGGGCGUAAAGCGCACGUAGGCGGCUUGGCAUGUCGGGUGUGAAAUCCCCGGGCUCAACCUGGGAACUGCAUCCGAAACUGCCUUGCUAGAGUAUGGGAGAGGGAAGCGGAAUUUCUGGUGUAGCAGUGAAAUGCGUAGAUAUCAGAAGGAACAUCAGUGGCGAAGGCGGCUUCCUGGACCAAUACUGACGCUCAGGUGCGAAAGCGUGGGGAGCAAACAGG
rnacentral:rRNA from 1 species